AGAGACCAGAUAGAGAGACACAUGGAGAGAGAGGUUAGAGGAGCCCUCAGAUCUUGAAUCUUCCCAGCAUCGACAAGCAAGCCUGUGAGCUAUAUUAGAGGACAUUUAUACUUUGGGAAACGGAUCCAGGAGAAUGAAGACUGAUGUGUUGAAAGAAGGUACUUCUAUGUAUGUUCCAUGGAGUCAAGGACAUUGGUUACUGCUGGAUCCCCAACUCUUACAACAGUGUCUGGCACACAGCAG